GACGAACGCUGGCGGCGUGCUUAACACAUGCAAGUCGAACGGAAAGGCCCUGCUUUUGUGGGGUGCUCGAGUGGCGAACGGGUGAGUAACACGUGAGUAACCUGCCCUUGACUUUGGGAUAACUUCAGGAAACUGGGGCUAAUACCGGAUAGGAGCUCCUGCUGCAUGGUGGGGGUUGGAAAGUUUCGGCGGUUGGGGAUGGACUCGCGGCUUAUCAGCUUGUUGGUGGGGUAGUGGCUUACCAAGGCUUUGACGGGUAGCCGGCCUGAGAGGGUGACCGGCGACAUUGGGACUGAGAGACGGCCCAGACUCCUACGGGAGGCAGCAGUGGGGAAUAUGACACAAUGGGCGGAAGCCUGAUGCAGCAACGCCGCGUGCGGGAUGACGGCCUUCGGGUUGUAAACCGCUGUCGCCUGUGACGAAGCGGGAGUGACGGUAAUGGGUAAAGAAGCACCGGCUAACUACGUG
rnacentral:rRNA from 1 species